GUCUGGGCAUAACAAUAUCUUUGUCUGGCUUCAGUAUCAGGGUAAUAUUGCCCUCAUAGAAUAAGUUGGGAAGUGUUCCUUCCUCUUAUUUUUUGGAGGUGUUAAUAAAAAUUUGGUAUUAAUUCUUCUUUAAAUAUUAAUAGAAUGCACCAGUGAAGACAUAUGGGUCUGGACUUUUCUUUGUGGUUAUUGUUUUGAUUACAAAUUCAGAUCACUUUACUUGUUUUAAGUCUGUUCAGAUUAUCUAUUUCUUCUUGAGUCAGUGUUGAUAAUUAGUGUCUUUCUAGGAAUUUGUUCAUUUUAUCUAAAUUAUAAAAUGUAUUAUGGUACAAUUUGUUUAUAGUAAUGCUUUCUCAUCUUUUUUAUUUUUUGCAGUGUUGGUGGUAAUGUCCACUCUUUCAAUUCAGAUUCUGUCUUCGCUCAUUCUUUUUUGGAGAAAAGGCCUACACGUUUAUUUAAAAUGUGCACAAGCCAGCCUUCAGAGUAAGGUCCAAACCCCUAAUGAGGUCUUUAGAGAAACUCUUCCAACCAAUUGCCAAUCAGAAAAUCUUUUGAAUCUACCUACAACCUGGAAGCCUCAGUUUGAGUUGUCCUGUCUUUCUGGACUGAAUCAAUGUAUAUCUUACACAUACUGAUGGAUGCCUUCUUUCUCCUCAAAAUGUAUAAAUCCAAGCUGGAGCUGACCCCCUGGGGCACAUGAUCUCAGGAUCUCGUGGGGCUGUGUCAUAGCCCACUGGUCACUCAUAUUUGGCUCAAAAUAAAUCUCUUCAAAUAUC